rnacentral:tRNA from 1 species
UAAGCUUAAUUGUAAAAAAUUAAAAAAUUAGUUUUCUUGUUUUAGGUUUGGUUUCUACGAGCCCGAAUUGUCAUUGUAUUUAAU